GACGAGCCACACAAACGUUAUUCGGAAUCACUGGGCGUAAAGCGCACGUAGGCGGCUUUCUAAGUCAGGGGUGAAAUCCUGGAGCUCAACUCCAGAACUGCCUUUGAUACUGGAGAGCUCGAGUCCGGAAGAGGUGAGUGGAACUCCGAGUGUAGAGGUGAAAUUCGUAGAUAUUCGGAAGAACACCAGUGGCGAAGGCGGCUCACUGGUCCGGUACUGACGCUGAUGUGCGAAAGCGUGGGGAGCAAACAGG
rnacentral:rRNA from 1 species